UACGAAGGGGGCUAGCGUUGCUCGGAAUCACUGGGCGUAAAGGGCGCGUAGGCGGCCUGCUAAGUCGAACGUGAAAUCCCCGGGCUCAACCCGGGAACUGCGUCCGAUACUGGCAGGCUUGAAUUCGGGAGAGGGAUGCGGAAUUCCAGGUGUAGCGGUGAAAUGCGUAGAUAUCUGGAGGAACACCGGUGGCGAAGGCGGCAUCCUGGACCGAAAUUGACGCUGAGGCGCGAAAGCCAGGGGAGCAAACGGG
rnacentral:rRNA from 1 species